rnacentral:misc_RNA from 1 species
GAUGAAGAACGUAGCGAAAUGCGAUAAGUAAUGUGAAUUGCAGAAUUCAGUGAAUCAUCGAAUCUUUGAACGCACAUUGCGCCCGCCAGUAUUCUGGCGGGCAUGCCUGUUCGAGCGUCAUUACAACCCUCAGGCCCCCGGGCCUGGCGUUGGGGAUCGGCGGAAGCCCCCUGCGGGCACAACGCCGUCCCCCAAAUACAGUGGCGGUCCCGCCGCAGCUUCCAUUGCGUAGUAGCUAACACCUCGCAACUGGAGAGCGGCGCGGCCACGCCGUAAAACACCCAACUACUGAAUGUUGACCUCGAAUCAGGUAGGAAUACCCGCUGAACUUAAGCAUAUCAAUAAGCGGAGGA